rnacentral:rRNA from 1 species
GACGGAGGAGGCUAGCGUUGUUCGGAAUUACUGGGCGUAAAGCGUACGCAGGUGGCGAAGCAAGUCGGAUGUGAAAGCCCGGGGCUCAACCCCGGAUGUGCAUCCGAUACUGUUUUGCUGGAGUCCGGAAGAGGAGAGCGGAAUUCCCAGUGUAGAGGUGAAAUUCGUAGAUAUUGGGAAGAACACCGGUGGCGAAGGCGGCUCUCUGGUCCGGUACUGACACUCAAGUACGAAAGCGUGGGGAGCAAACAGGAUUAGAUACCCUGGUAGUCCACGCCGUAAACGAUGCGCGCUAGAUGUCGGGGGGCUUGCCCUUCGGUGUCGCAGCUAACGCGGUAAGCGCGCCGCCUGGGGAGUACGGCCGCAAGGUUAAA